AUAUGCCUACAACAUAGCAUUAAUGCAUCAUAUUCCAUUAGAACUUUGCAGUUAAGCAAGCUCAGGCUAGAUUAGUACUGAGAUGGGUGACUGCCCGAGAAAUCCUAGUGUUUUACAUGCC
rnacentral:rRNA from 1 species